rnacentral:misc_RNA from 1 species
AACGCAACUUGCACUCUAGGUUCUCCUAGAGUAUGCCUAUUUGAGUAUCGGUACCCCCACUCACAACCCCGCCGCCCCUCCUCGUGGUGGUGGUGGUGGCUUGCUGGAUCUCAUGAGUCGUGCGUGUAUUAUUGUGUGUGUAUUCCCACACACACACGCUGACUUGAAGUGUACACUGAAUCGGGCCUAUGUAUACUGUACAUGCGGCACUGACGUGAUAGUCUCACAUGUUUGGGAACACACAACUCGUCAGGCACACACACAAUGCCGCGUGUCGGUCAUAGUGACCUAGUCACGCACACAAACACAUACCAAAUCUCGAUCUCAAAUUAGGUAGGACUACCCGCUGAAUUUAA